AGGUGAUGGCAUUGGACCCUUUGCCACAGCAUUUAACUACACAGAGGGGGGAAGCAUUUACUAUCAGGAGUACACCUCAGGUGAUGCUCUUCACACUGCAACUCAAGACAUCAACUUCUACUUCCCCAAUAUGACCUUCACUGCUACCUGGGUAUUUGUGGUCACUUGGGACAGAAUGGUCUACUCCAAUUAUCUCUUCAACAGCACAAUAAACAAUGACCAAAAUUCAACAGCGACAUUCCAGGCUGUUCUGAUUUCUGAUGGUGAUGUGUCUUUUGUCUUCAUGAACUACGGUGACAUUUCCCCACCACCAGAUGGAUAUGUGAUGGCAUAUUCCUACAGUAACUCUGAUCAGUAUCAGUAUAUCCUAAUAAGCUGCUUUCCAAAUGAGACUGUAAAUGCGGUGACCUUAAAGACUUCCAGCAACAUCAAUGUGCCGGGACGAUGGCUCAUUCCAACCUCAUUAGAGUCAAACUUC